GUGGUGGCUCAUUGGUAGACUGCUUGCCUAGCAUGCAUGAGGCACUGGGUUCGAUCCUCAGCACCACA
rnacentral:tRNA from 1 species